rnacentral:rRNA from 1 species
GGCAGCACGGGAGCAAUCCUGGUGGCGAGUGGCGAACGGGUGAGUAAUAUAUCGGAACGUGCCCAGUCGUGGGGGAUAACGUAGCGAAAGCUACGCUAAUACCGCAUACGAUCUAUGGAUGAAAGCGGGGGAUCGCAAGACCUCGCGCGAUUGGAGCGGCCGAUAUCAGAUUAGGUAGUUGGUGAGGUAAAGGCUCACCAAGCCGACGAUCUGUAGCUGGUCUGAGAGGACGACCAGCCACACUGGGACUGAGACACGGCCCAGACUCCUACGGGAGGCAGCAGUGGGGAAUUUUGGACAAUGGGCGCAAGCCUGAUCCAGCAAUGCCGCGUGCAGGAUGAAGGCCUUCGGGUUGUAAACUGCUUUUGUACGGAACGAAACGGCGAGCUCUAAUACAGUUUGCUAAUGACGGUACCGUAAGAAUAAGCACCGGCUAACUACGUGCCAGCAGCCGCGGUAAUACGUAGGGUGCGAGCGUUAAUCGGAAUUACUGGGCGUAAAGCGUGCGCAGGCGGUGAUGUAAGACAGAUGUGAAAUCCCCGGGCUCAACCUGGGACCUGCAUUUGUGACUGCAUCGCUAGAGUACGGCAGAGGGGGAUGGAAUUCCGCGUGUAGCAGUGAAAUGCGUAGAUAUGCGGAGGAACACCGAUGGCGAAGGCAAUCCCCUGGGCCUGUACUGACGCUCAUGCACGAAAGCGUGGGGAGCACACAGGAUUAGAUACCCUGGUAGUCCACGCCCUAAACGAUGUCAACUG